AAAUAAAGGUAAACUCUCGAACUUGUUUUUUUACGUGACAUUAAGGGAUUCCUCGCUGAAGCAGGAUGCCUGAAGUGAAGUCGGUGUUUCGAGAGGUUCUCCCUAAACAAGCUCUCCGUGGAGGAUGUUCCCACCAUGGUCCUGUGCAAACCCAAACUCCUUCCUCUGAAGUCUGUGACGCUGGAGAAACUGGAGAAGAUGCAGCAGGACGCUCAGGAGCUCAUCAGACAACAACAACUGGCUUUGAAGGAGUCUGAGAGAGCAGA